AUGCAUGUCUAAGUAUAAGCAAUUAUACAGCGAAACUGCGAAUGGCUCAUUAUAUAAGUUAUCGUUUAUUUGAUAGUACCUUACUACUUGGAUAACCGUGGUAAUUCUAGAGCUAAUACAUGCUAAAAAUCCCGACUUCGGAAGGGAUGUAUUUAUUAGAUUAAAAACCAAUGCCCCCUGGGCUCUCUGGUGAUUCAUAAUAACUUCUCGAAUCGCAUGGCCUUGUGCCGGCGAUGGUUCAUUCAAAUUUCUUCCCUAUCAACUUUCGAUGUUUGGGUAGUGGCCAAACAUGGUUGCAACGGGUAACGGAGGGUUAGGGCUCGACCCCGGAGAAGGAGCCUGAGAAACGGCUACUACAUCCAAGGAAGGCAGCAGGCGCGCAAAUUACCCAAUCCCGAUUCGGGGAGGUAGUGACAAUAAAUACCGAUACAGGGCUCUUUUGGGUCUUGUAAUUGGAAUGAGUACAAUUUAAAUCCCUUAACGAGGAACAANNNNNNNNNNNNNNNNNNNNNNNNNNNNNNNNNNNNUCCAGCUCCAAUAGCGUAUAUUAAAGUUGUUGUGGUUAAAAAGCUCGUAGUUGAACCUUGGGCCUGGCUGGCCGGUCCGCCUCACCGCGUGUACUGGUCCGGCCGGGCCUUUCCCUCUGUGGAACCCCAUGCCCUUCACUGGGCGUGGCGGGGAAACAGGACUUUUACUUUGAAAAAAUUAGAGUGCUCCAGGCAGGCCUAUGCUCGAAUACAUUAGCAUGGAAUAAUGAAAUAGGACGCGCGGUUCUAUUUUGUUGGUUUCUAGGACCGCCGUAAUGAUUAAUAGGGACAGUCGGGGGCAUCAGUAUUCAAUUGUCAGAGGUGAAAUUCUUGGAUUUAUUGAAGACUAACUACUGCGAAAGCAUUUGCCAAGGAUGUUUUCAUUAAUCAGGAACGAAAGUUAGGGGAUCGAAGACGAUCAGAUACC
rnacentral:rRNA from 1 species